CAGAGGGCGCGAGCGUUGUCCGGAAUCACUGGGCGUAAAGGGCGCGUAGGUGGCCACCAUAAGGCCGCGGUGAAAGUUCGGGGCUCAACCCCGGAUCGGCCGCGGCGACUGUGGGGCUGGGGUACUGUAGAGGCAGGUGGAAUUCCGGGUGUAGCGGUGGAAUGCGUAGAGAUCCGGAAGAACACCAGUGGCGAAGGCGGCCUGCUGGGCAGUGGGAUCGAAAGGUCCCUUCAACCGACACUGAGGCGCGACAGCGUGGGGAGCAAACAGGAUUAGAUACCCUGGUAGUCCACGCCGUAAACGAUGGGCACUAGGUGCUCCGGGGAGCGACCCUUGGAGUACCGGCGCUAACGCAUGAAGUGCCCCGCCUGGGGAGUACGGCCGCAAGGCUG
rnacentral:rRNA from 1 species